rnacentral:rRNA from 1 species
UACCCGCAGCACAAGUGGUGGUCAUUAUUAUUGGGCCUAAAGCGUCCGUAGCUGGCUUGUUAGAUGCCUGGGUAAAUCGAUGCGCUCAACGCAUCGAAUUCCGGGUAGACCGGCAAGCUUGGGACCGGGAGAGGCAUGGGCUACUCGCGGGGUAGGGGUAAAAUCCUGUAAUCCUGCGGGGAGGACCAGUGGCGAAGGCGCCAUGCUAGAACGGCUCUGACAGUGAGGGACGAAGCCCUGGGGCGCAAACCGG